ACGGAGGAUCCGAGCGUUAUCCGGAUUUAUUGGGUUUAAAGGGUGCGUAGGCGGACUGAUAAGUCAGCGGUGAAAGUUUGCAGCUUAACUGUAAAAUUGCCAUUGAAACUGUCAGUCUUGAGUGCAAAUGAGGUAAGCGGAAUGUGUUGUGUAGCGGUGAAAUGCUUAGAUAUGACACAGAACACCGAUUGCGAAGGCAGCUUACUAAGAUGUAACUGACGCUGAGGCACGAAAGCGUGGGGAUCAAACAG
rnacentral:rRNA from 1 species